CAAAAGUUGGCAAUAAAGUUGGCUUGUUAACAAACCCCGAUAAAUCGAAGUGAGCUUCAUCGCUCAUCAAUAAGUUGUUAGCAUCUUGGUUUUGAUUAAUCAACUGCAAAAAAGUCCUGCAGAAAUCGACUCUGUUUUCAUAGUCGUGUUCGUGUAGUGCACGAGUAAUUUUAAUUUUAUUGGGGUAGAAGUGGAGUUCUUUGUGCAAUAUCCGUCGAACGCCGUCUUCGGACUGCCCGAGUGAUGUAACGUGGAGACACGCAGACCGGCUUGGAUUUCGUUCAAUGGCUUCUCUCACUGCCGCUACAUUCUCGAGUAUAUGAAAGGAAAUCAAAAGAAGUGGAGAAGAAAGAUACUAAUGAUUUAUACCAUCAACUUCAUACUUGACUAAAGAAUAUGCUGCAGAGCAUUGUCAUUAUUGGAAAUAUAAAUUUCUGGCACCAGUUCAAGAUUUUAACAGAGCACAACUGCUGGACAUGACAGGAGAAAUCCACUUACUUCACCACCGCCUUGCAGGACCAAGCCACCAACAUGGUACACAGAGUCCCAAAAGGCUUUGGGUUCUGGAGGACCGCUUUGGAGACCAGCACCUUGGUACCACACAUAUCAGUCAGCUAAAAGCAAGGUCCUAAGUUAUGGCUUGGAAUCCUUGCAAGAAUUUGCCACAGCCAUCAAACAGCUCGUCUGCCUGCCCACCAGCCAUGCCUUCCCCCAUACUACCCAAGGACCACAUGAUGAAUGCGGCAGACAAAGUGUUCGCAGAUGGUGUAGAAGACUCUGCCAUAAAAAUCCAGCUGCUGCUGGAGAAGACAGUGAAUGAGGCUCUCAGGCAGGCCCUUGAACUUCAAGUCAUGAUCCUAGCUGCCAGGCCCCACAAAGUGAGCGCCAGGACAUUCUGUGGGAGCCAAUCACCCUCACCCAUCAAAAAGACAAAAGGCGAUGGGCAUGCUGGAGUUGUUGAGAUCCAGGCCACUUCCAGGGUAGCUGCCCCUGUGGAAGGAAAGCAGAAAACGACAACCAGCGCCGGAAUCUUAAUGAGAGGCCUGUGAGCAACAGAUGGAAACCACCAAGAAAGUCUGAAUGGCAACCGGACAGGAGGAAUGGCCAACCGUCAGGAAAUGAGCGGGGGGCCAACGGAAAAGGGCGGGUGCCGGUGUAUGAAUUAAGGAAACCUCCAUCACAUGUUGACUGUCAUUAUGGAAAUGGUCACACCGGGCUGUGUCGAUGACAAACCAUGUCUCAUGCCCAUGGACAGGCACAACAUUGCCGCCGGAUGGUCCAAAAGACAGUCGAACCAAUGUUACAUGCUGCAGACGGUAUCUGGGGAAGCCCUCCCCAUCUUGAAGGAAGUUUUCCUGACACUGACCCUGGGGUGGCACCCACUGGAAAUUUGGAUAUUCUUUGCCAAUAUUACAAAUGAGUCCAUCUUGGGGCUGGAUUUCCUACUCACAUAUGAUGCACAUGUGGACCUAGGGCGCCAAACACUGCAUCUUGCAGAGAAACAGGUAUCGUUAUGGAGCCCCAAGUCUGUCAUGGCCUUCCAGCCUGGUUGAGGCCAGCGAUCUGGUGAUACCUGCUCAGUGUGAGGGAAUGGUGAUGGCUGGAAUGGAGAGCCCCAUUGGAGUGGAAAAUGGCCUAGUAUAACAGAGUCCAGGAGUUUAUCCUCCUGAAAGACACUACAUAGCCAGGACCCUGGUCCAGAACCAACAGGAGGUACCCACGAGGUUCCUGAAUGGUACCCAUCACUACCAAAAGUUCACGAAAGUAUCCUGCUGGCACUCUGGGAGCCAGUCGUGUACUGGUGACCCCAUUCAAUGUGGAACAACCACAGAUCUGGGAUACCACGAACUUACAGAAUGCACAGCAGGCAGAAGUAGGCGAGAUGCUCUACAACAUGCAAUGCCUUGGGGUUAUCGAAGAGUCAAACAGUCCCUGUCAUGCCCCAUCAGAGGAGAAGGAAGUCUUCCAGUGGACUCCAGAAGGAAAUUCAUCAUUGACCCUGACACAAGUAAUGUCGUGAUAGGAGGGCUGAUCUCCUAAGUACAGGACAGGAAGGAGCGAGUAAUAGCCUCCUACAGUAAGACGGUAAACAAGGCCAAGAGAAAUUACUGCAUCACCCUAUAGGAACUAAUUGCGCUCUUGAGGACACUGGAACAUUUCCGUAAGUACCUCUGCGGAGAAGAGUUCCGCCUGUGCACUGACCACUCUACACUAACCUGACUCAUGAGUUUUAUGAAAAAGGAGUGCUGUGACCAAAAAUGUGUCCCAUUUGGAGGAAACCAUGUAUAAAGUCCAUAAAAUGUUUUGAAGGAUGGUUUGAAAAUACAUUCCAAUGACAAAUAUAAUUGUGUAAAAGAAAGAAGAGCCAUAAGACUCAGUUACCUAUUACUGAAAUGUGCUGAUGACAUAUCUCACAAAAUUUUUGUUUAGUUACAGGUUGAUGUUAAACUACAAUAGGUCAAGAUGAAACAUUGUUAUAAUUAUUUCUAGGCAGUCAUGAGAAACACUGGGUUAUAAGAAUUCCUGCAACCAUAAAUAAAAUAAUGUA